rnacentral:rRNA from 1 species
CACGGGGGGAGCAAGCGUUGUUCGGAAUCACUGGGCGUAAAGGGCGUGUAGGCGGUCAGGUUAGUGAGAUGUGAAACGCCCCGGCUCACCCGGGGACCUGCAUCUCAAACUGCCUGGCUUGAGUAUGGGAGAGGAUGAGGGAAUUCCUGGUGUAGCGGUGAAAUGCGUAGAUAUCAGGAGGAACACCGGUGGCGAAAGCGCUCAUCUGGCCCAGUACUGACGCUGAGGCGCGAAAGCGUGGGGAGCGAACAGG